rnacentral:rRNA from 1 species
AGAAGCAAUGCGGCGACGCAAAGCGGAACUUGAAAGCCUGUCUCAGUUCGGAUUGGAGUCUGCAACUCGACUCCAUGAAGCCGGAUUCGCUAGUAAUCGCGCAUCAGCCAUGGCGCGGUGAAUACGUUCCCGGGCCUUGUACACACCGCCCGUCAAGCCAUGGAAGCCGGGAGUGCCUGAAGUGUGCAACCGCAAGGAGCGCCCUAAGGUAAAACUGGUGACUGGGGCUAAGUCGUAACAAGGUACC